CACUUAGCAUGAUGAAUGAGUUCACAAAGCUUUUCUGUAUGUGGGAUGUGGAUGGUUGCUUUGUAGAAUGACUUACGAGUAGAGCUAGAAUUGGAUCUGGUACUACCUGCAGUUUUGUUAAUGGGAAGUGAAUUAGGUCAACUUUCUCAGCUGAAUCCCGUGGGCCAGAGUUGAAGCGUAUGUAAGCAGACAAGAUUCGUAUUGAGAGCUUAGUUCAUAUUAUACCUAACAAAGCUAGCAACACAUUGAGCAUCAUUGAUGGUGGAGGUGGAACGCCAAGGCUGGUGAACAAUCUUGGUGCCGUUACAAGAUUUGGCCCUGAGAUUUCAUGGAAGCUAUUGUUGGUGGUGCUAAUGUUAGUAUGAUUGGACAGUUUGAUCCCGUUUGGUACAAAUAUGUUAGUAGCUUAAUUUGUAUUUAACUGCAUGAGAGCUUGAAGGAAGUAACCCCUCUUUAGGUUCCACUGCAAUAGUUAAAAUCUGUGAACGAUGUUGUCUCCAUGGCGAAUU